AACGAACGCUGGCGGCAGGCUUAACACAUGCAAGUCGAGCGCCCCGCAAGGGGAGCGGCAGACGGGUGAGUAACGCGUGGGAACGUACCCUUAUCUUCGGAAUAGCUCCGGGAAGCUGGAAUUAAUACCGAAUGUGCCCUUAGGGGGAAAGAUUUAUCGGAUAAGGACCGGCCCGCGUUGGAUUAGCUAGUUGGUGGGGUAAAGGCCUACCAAGGCGACGAUCCAUAGCUGGUCUGAGAGGAUGAUCAGCCACAUUGGGAAUGAGACACGGCCCAAACUCCUACGGGAGGCAGCAGUGGGGAAUAUUGGACAAUGGGCGCAAGCCUGAUCCAGCCAUGCCGCGUGAGUGAUGAAGGCCCUAGGGUUGUAAAGCUCUUUCGCCGACGAAGAUAAUGACGGUAGUCGGAGAAGAAGCCCCGGCUAACUUCGUGCCAGCCGCCGCCGUAACAC
rnacentral:rRNA from 1 species